rnacentral:lncRNA from 1 species
UGUGAUAAUAAGUGAUAUUACCGUUAUUGAUGGAUGAACUAAAGGAGUGAUCAUCAGUAGUGUAUGAAAUAGAGAUAUGGUCAUUUUUGGUGGAUGAAUUGAGGGAGUCAUUAAUCAACCUGAUAGUCAUCAGUGAUCUGUGAAUUAGGAACAUUAUCGUUAGCGGUUGAUGAAUUGAAAGAGUCUUUAUUAGUUGUAUGGGAAUAAGGCAUAUCCCCAUAUUUUGGUGGACGAAUUGAGGGAGUCAUAAUCAGUGGUGUGUGAAUUAAAAAUAAUAUUUUUUUCCCAACGUAACAAUAUAUUUUUUGCAUAUUUGCUGUAACAAUUUACAGCUUUUGAAUUCGUAUCCUUCAUGUUAGCUUACCCAAUAGUUAAGGGAAGCAGCAUUUGGUUAGAUAUUAUUUCUUCAUAAUGUUAGUAUUCACAAUAUAAUACAUUUCACAAGAUAAAUU